AUUAUCUAUGGUCACAUGUUUGUCACAUAUUUAUAUACAAAUGUAACUUAUUAGUUAUUUACAUCUACCGGAAAAAUGAGUUUAAAAAUUGAUUAUAAUGACUCUUGGAAUCUUAUUAAGAAAGUAUUUCCAAUUUUAGACGAAUCUUCAUCGAAGCAACAAGAAGCAUCGGAAAAUGAGUUUUAUAAAACGUUAUCCGUAAUUGAAAAUCUGAAUUUAGCAGAAAUUAUCAAAACUAUGAUUCUAACAAGAGUCGAACGUGAAAUAAGAGAAAGUUAUGUUCCAAAAUUUUGGUCUUACUUUGUCAAAGUAGAAAAUUAUGAAGAAGGUUUUUUCAAAUUUUCAAAGGCAAUUAAUUUCAUUCACGACUGUUUUAUGCAAUAUGGGAGUUUAUUUCUCAAGCUGAAAAUAUUGAACAAGAAAUUAUUGCCUGAAAGCAAUAUUUAUGGCAAUGAAGAUCCUGUAGAUGCUUUAAGAUUACUGUUCAGAGCAACCUUGUUGUCUCAGUUACCUAUUGAACAUAAGGACAUAAUAGAGAACUUUUACAUAAUUGCACUGUCUGAAGAGAAUAACAGAGAUAUUGCAGAUUUUUUUAAUUUGAGUCAACAAUCUGAAAAUAAUUAUAAUUUGAUAUUUAGUGAGACUAAUAGGAAACUAAAUAAAUUAGAUCUUCUGGAACCAUUAGUCGGGCAAGUUUUGACUUCUUUGAUAUACACCACUAUAGAAAACCAUGUACAGAAGACAUGCAAAGACAGUUUCGAUUCAUCAUACUUAACUACUCUUGAAACAUGGUUAGAAACAGUAAUAAUACCAUGGCUCCAAACAAUUUAUUGUUCUGAAUAUGCGAGUGUCAAUGAAGAAGCUGUUAAGCGAUUUCAAAGGAAACUAUUAAAUUUUCUUUAUGAAACAUAUGCUAAAGUGCGUAUUAAUCAGCUUUUUAACAUAAUAAUAGAAUUUCCGGAGUCUUUGCCUGCAUUAGAAGAUUUACGUCUUUGCCUUCAAAAAACUGACUUGAGAUCUGUAUUGAUUGAGAAACUACAGAAGUCGAUGGAAACUCGUUUAUUGCAUCCUGGUGUUAGUACUCCCGACAUUUUAACUGCCUAUGUAGCUUCCAUUCGGUCAAUGAGGGUUUUAGACCCUUCAGGACUACUCUUAGAAACUGUUACACAGCCUGUUCAUCAGUAUCUACGAAGCAGAGAUGAUACAGUCAGAUGUGUAGUGAGUAGUUUAACCGAAGAAGAUCCUAAUGAUCUAGCAGAGGAAUUAGUCCGGGGAAAUGCGGUUCAUGUGGAUGAAAACGCUCUUUCCGAUGAAGAUGCUGAAAACUGGACGAAAUGGAUGCCGGAUCCUGUUGAAGCAGAUCCUAAUAAAUCUUCCAACAUUCGACGAUCAUCAGACAUAAUAUCAAUGCUUGUUAGCGUCUAUGGUAGUAAGGAACUUUUCGUAAAUGAAUAUCGUACUUUGUUGGCCGACAGACUUUUAUCUCAAUUUAGUUGCGAUACCGAAAAGGAAAUUCGAUACCUUGAACUACUCAAAUUACGUUUCGGUGAUUCCCAGUUACAUUAUUGCGAAGUAAUGUUGAAAGAUGUCGCUGAUUCAAAGAGGAUCAAAACGCAUAUCGCACAAAUACCGGAAUACUCCGAGAAUUUUAACAUGUCUGCGAUGAUUUUGUCAGCGCAGUUUUGGCCAGCUCUAAAGGACGAAAAACUUGAAGUUCAUCCAAAAAUUAAGGAACAAAUGGCUUUAUACACAAAAGGCUUUGAGGCUUUGAAAGGUAGCAGGACGUUAGCAUGGAAGAACCACUUGGGAGUGGUUGACGUAGAAAUUGAUCUACCUGAUAGGAAACUGAACUUAUCUGUUACACCUGUUCACGUCACUAUUAUUAUGCAUUUUGAAGAUAAAAAGGAAUGGGCAUUGGAUGAAUUGAGUCGUGUUAUGCAAGUUCCGCCAACGAUAUUAAGAAGGAAAAUGGGAUUUUGGCAAUCUUACGGACUUAUAGAAGAAGUGAAACCGGAUUUGUUUUGUUUGAUAGAAGAAAUAGAAAAUAGUGUAAGUAAAGCUGCGUCAGAGAUUGUGGAAGAUUAUGAAUCAGAAAGUGCAAUGGCUAGCGCCCAAGAUCAAAGGAAAGAAGAAUUACAGACGUUUUGGUCUUACAUUACGGGAAUGUUGAUGAAUCUCGAUUCAUUACCAUUGGAAAGGAUCCAUCAGAUGUUAAAAAUGUUCGCCUUUCAAGGACCUACUAUUGAAUGCAGUUUACAAGAAUUGAGACACUUUCUGGAUGCCAAAUUGGAGAAGCCAAGCAGAGCAGCACCAUUCUAAAAACCAAGGAAGAACUUUUAUUGAAUACAUCGUGAACACAUGAUGUCAGUUAACACCUAUACCUCUCUCAAUGUGUCUAAUCUGCAAAUAACUCUAAUCGUAUAAUUCAGCAGGUUGUUAUACCUGAAAGAAGCAGGAAAGUGCUUUUUUCCACCACAAAUAGGCAAAAGGAUAUUUGUUGCCAAAGGAAGGAUUUAUAAUGAAUUGACAUAGUUUUGAGUGAUACCAUCAUAAAGGAACAUAAGAACUCCAUGUGUCAUGUGUUACAAAGCAUUGGUUGUAUCUGUCGUUUUUUGCUCUAGAAGUAGCAGCACUUAAUGUUCAUAAGAAACUAUGAAGGCACGUUCUUGCAUUGGGAGCAAACACAUUGUGUUGUUGUUUAGAAAGGAUUUAUGACAAAAAUUGAUUGAAGAUAGAUGAGAGAGGAAAUUGAAGUUCAUUUCGAUCCUACUAAAAAAAACAAGUUUUAGCUGUUUAAUUUUUAUCUUGGAGGGUUUUGUGAUUAAUUAAGGAACAUUAUAAAAAGUUCUGAUGCCAUUUAGUUGUCAUUCAGUCCUCAUCGCUC